AGAGCAGGAAAAGGGGACAUGAAAGCAGUGUGGGGGACUCAGACACCACAAAUAUUCAUGGAGCCACUGAUGUUUGCCAGGCACUUUUAUAAACAUGUGACUUAAUCUUUCCCAAAACCCAUGCAAAGGGCAUCCUUUUGUCUCCAUUUUCUAUUAUAUGUGCUGAGAUGAGCCUCAGGGAAGGCAAGUAACUCACCCAGGGCCACACAGCCCGUCACAGCUCAGUCAGGGCCCCAGGAAGGACAAUCCCAUGGCUUGGGGUGUUGGGAAGUUUGCCUUCAUUCAGUCCUGCGAAGCCUCGGAGGAAAGGCUGAGCUUGGUGCUGUCACCCUGUCUCCCUCCAGGUCACCUCCAGGUCACAGUGUGGCUGGGGCUCUUGGGCCUUCAGUUUUCUUCCUGCCGAGUGGGUUCAGGAAGAGCAGGCUCUGAGUCACUGGGGCCCCGGCUGGUGAUGGGGGCUUAGACACGUGUAUGGUCCAUUGCUGCCCUCCAGGGAUGAGGCUCAUCUCAGGACCGUGCCCUGGCUUCUGUCAAGGCGGCUCUGUGGUUGUUCGGGGCCUACUCUGUCCGGCCACAGCUCUGGGCCUUUUUCCACCAGCCUUCUUUGAGCUCUCCCUUGGCUUUGGGAGCAGCAUGAGAUUUUUCCAUGCUUCCGGCUCCGUUGCCCACAAGCUGAACAGUGACUUGGUGUCAGGGUGGCAAAGAGAAUAGGUGCCUUACUGGGAAUGGGCAGUGGUGGGGGAUCAGGGAGAGGGAGGCUAGAGGGUGGACAGGACCUCCCAGCAGCGGCAAGAACAGCUCCAGCUCCUGCCUUCUUGGAACCCUUCUGCCAUGGAGCCCCCCAGGCUGAGGAGGCCUCAUGGGGGCCAUUUCGCACACCAAGAGGCUGAGUCACUUGCCCAAGAUUGGGCCUCUGAUCUGUGGAUGUGACCUCACAUGCCAAAAGGACCUUUGCAGAU
rnacentral:lncRNA from 10 species